GAUGAACGCUAGCGGCAGGCCUAAUACAUGCAAGUCGGACGGGAUUGGGGAGCUUGCUCCCCAUGAGAGUGGCGCACGGGUGCGUAACACGUAUGUAACCUACCCUUGUCAGGGGGAUAGCCUCUCGAAAGAGAGAUUAACACCGCAUAACAUUAUUGGAUGGCAUCAUUUAAUAAUCAAAUAUUUAUAGUACAAGGAUGGGCAUGCGGGACAUUAGCUAGUUGGUAGGGUAACGGCUUACCAAGGCUACGAUGUCUAGGGGAUCUGAAAGGAUGGCCCCCCACACUGGUACUGAGACACGGACCAGACUCCUACGGGAGGCAGCAGUAAGGAAUAUUGGUCAAUGGGCGCAAGCCUGAACCAGCCAUGCCGCGUGCAGGAAGACGGCCCUACGGGUUGUAAACUGCUUUUGCGCCGGAAUAAACCCUUUUACGAGUAAGAGGCUGAAUGUACGGCGAGAAUAAGGAUCGGCUAACUCCGUGCCAGCCGCCGCGGUAA
rnacentral:rRNA from 1 species